AUAAUACUCCCUCCGUCCGGAAAUACUUGUCGCCAAAAUGGAUGUAUCUAGAAUUAAAAUACAUCUAGAUACAUUCAUUUCUUCAACAAGUAUUUUCGGACGGAAGGAGUAAUAU
rnacentral:pre_miRNA from 1 species